GACAACAGAAGCCACAGAAAUCCUCCUCAUCAAAAACAUGACUUUGAUCUCCGUCCUCAUCUGGACUCUCCUCUGCUGCUGCUUCACAGAGUCCAGAGGCCAGAUCACAGUGACUCAGCCUGCAGCAGUGAGAUCUGAACUGGGAGGAUCUACAACCAUCAACUGUAGGACCAGUCAGAGUGUAGUUAAUGGGUGGUUUUUAGCCUGGUACCAACAGAGAGAUGGAGAAGCUCCUAAAUUAUUAAUUAAGGCAGCUGACGAGCGACUAUCAAGGAUUCCAGGUCGUUUUUCAGGCAGCGGAAGAAACUCUGACUUCACUCUGACCAUCAGUGGAGUUCAGGCUGAAGAUGCAGCAGUUUAUUACUGUCAGAGUUAUCACAAUCCUAACAGUCAGCGUGUGUUCACACAGUGAAAAAGCGUCGUACAAAAACCUCCCUCAGUCAGACUGAACCGAAACUGAACUGACUGCUGCAG